CUCUGACGAACCUGGGACCUCAGCCUGCCCCAAUGGUCAUUUCCACUGCACCAACGCUGGGUACUGAUCCCAGAACAUCCCCUCUGGCCAUGUCAAUGAUGGCGUCUGUGCCCCCCUUCCAUGCUGCUGCCCCUGCUGCUGGCCCCCCCCCCCGGAUGCUGUGGAAGUGACGCGGCCCUGCGGCGUCUCACUGAGCAACCGUCACUUCUAUGAGGAAUCCCAGCCUUUCACCUGCCUGGACGGUUCCUCCACCAUCGCCUUCAAGUGGGUCAAUGACGACUAUUGCGACUGUCGCGACGGCUCUGACGAACCUGGGACCUCAGCCUGCCCCAAUGGCCAUUUCCACUGCACCAACGCUGGGUACCAACCCCAGAACAUCCCCUCUGCCCACAUCAAUGAUGGCGUUUGUGGUGGGGGGGGUCGUUGUGGUUUU